rnacentral:rRNA from 1 species
GUGUCAGCAGCCGCGGUAAGACGAACCGUGCAAACGUUACUCGGAUUCACUGGGCUUAAAGGGCGCGUAGGCGGCUCGCCAAGUCUGGGGUGAAAUCUUUCGGCUCAACCGGAAAAUUGCCUGGGAUACUGGCGGGCUCGAGGGAGGUAGGGGUCAUGGGAACGACCAGUGGAGCGGUGAAAUGCGUUGAUAUUGGUCGGAACGCCGGUGGCGAAAGCGCAUGACUGGAUCUCUUCUGACGCUGAGGCGCGAAAGCCAGGGGAGCAAACGGGAUUAGAAACCCCCGUAGUCC